rnacentral:tRNA from 1 species
GUUAAUGUAGCUUAAUUUUAGAGUGUGGUACUGAAAAUGCUAGGGUGGACUUUGUAUGUUUUUUUGACG